rnacentral:rRNA from 1 species
AUUGAACGCUGGCGGCAGGCCUAACACAUGCAAGUCGAGCGAGAAAGCACUUCGGUGCGAGUACAGCGGCGGACGGGUGAGUAACGCGUAGGAAUCUACCCAGUAGUGGGGGACAACAGUCGGAAACGGCUGCUAAUACCGCAUACGCCCCAAGGGGGAAAGCGGGGGAUCUUCGGACCUCGCGCUAUUGGAUGAGCCUGCGUAGGAUUAGCUUGUUGGUGAGGUAAAGGCUCACCAAGGCGACGAUCCUUAGCUGGUCUGAGAGGAUGAUCAGCCACACUGGAACUGAGACACGGUCCAG